rnacentral:rRNA from 1 species
CAGCAGCCGCGGGAAUACGAGGGGGGCAAGCGUUGUUCGGAAUUAUUGGGCGUAAAGGGUGCGUAGGCGGUUUGAUAAGUCUUGUGUGAAAUCUCUGGGCUCAACCCAGAGUCUGCACAGGAAACUGUCGGGCUUGAGAGUGGGAGAGGUGAGUGGAAUUUCCGGUGUAGCGGUGAAAUGCGUAGAUAUCGGAAGGAACACCUGUGGCGAAAGCGGCUCACUGGACCAUUUCUGACGCUGAUGCACGAAAGCUAGGGGAGCAAACAGGAUUAGAUACCCCCGUAGUCCCUGUCUCUUAUAC